GUCCAUGCCGUAAACGAUGUCUACUAGCCGUUGGGGUCUUUGAGACUUUAGUGGCGCAGCUAACGCGAUAAGUAGACCGCCUGGGGAGUACGGUCGCAAGGUUAAAACUCAAAUGAAUUGACGGGGGCCCGCACAAGCGGUGGAGCAUGUGGUUUAAUUCGAUGCAACGCGAAGAACCUUACCUGGUCUUGACAUAGUAAGAACUUUCCAGAGAUGGAUUGGUGCCUUCGGGAACUUACAUACAGGUGCUGCAUGGCUGUCGU
rnacentral:rRNA from 1 species